UCAGUGGGUCUCCGAGUAUAAGCGGAUUUUGGGAUGCCCUAGGAACUGGGCUGGAGUCAAAACUAUCGAACAAUAGAACCAUCGAGGAGACAGGGUUGCGCAUAAUGCUGUGCUGAGUUUCGAGUAAAAGUGGGGGAGACCUGUCAAUUCCCCACGAGACUGAGCCGAGAUAAAAGAGCUUGAGCAAUGGAGCAUAGUGUUCAAGCCGGAGGCAAAGACCGAGUUAGCACGUUUUAAGGUGCCGUCUUGGGGGCGGUUGGCCUGAGGGCCACACCUAGAGAGGUGACCUUGGAGGGGCCGAGAGGACCCAAGUUGGGAGAUGACCAAAGUGCUUGAAUGCCACUAUGCUAGGGUCAUCAUGUAGAGUGCCGCAUGAGUGCGGUUGACCUAAGCAUCACGUCCAGAGGGGCGCAUCAGUGAGUUGAUGCUGCAAGCGUGCAGUUGGUGUGAGGGGUCACGUCCGGUGGGACGCACCACAUGAGUGGCAAAGCUGUGGUCAUUCAUUCUACUGAGGGUCAUCGAUCAAUGAGGGCACCACGAGGUCGCAACCUAACAAGGAUCAAGGGAUGAAGCCUUGGUAUGGCCCAUAUGAGUACAACCAAGAUAGGUUAGGCGGUUCGAACUACAACAAAGCUGAGCAAUAAUGAGACCAAUCUACACCAACAAUGGACGAGUACUGUGGACGGUGCCUCAUGUGAC
rnacentral:lncRNA from 1 species